rnacentral:sRNA from 1 species
CCAAUGUGAACGUUACCAAACUGUUGCCUCGGCGGGAUCUCUGCCCCGGGUGCGUCGCAGCCCCGGACCAAGGCGCCCGCCGGAGGACCAACCAAAACUCUUAUUGUAUACCCCCUCGCGGGUUUUUUUAUAAUCUGAGCCUUCUCGGCGCCUCUCGUAGGCGUUUCGAAAAUGAAUCAAAACUUUCAACAACGGAUCUCUUGGUUCUGGCAUCGAUGAAGAACGCAGCGAAAUGCGAUAAGUAAUGUGAAUUGCAGAAUUCAGUGAAUCAUCGAAUCUUUGAACGCACAUUGCGCCCGCCAGUAUUCUGGCGGGCAUGCCUGUCCGAGCGUCAUUUCAACCCUCGAACCCCUCCGGGGGGUCGGCGUUGGGGAUCGGCCCUCCCUUAGCGGGUGGCCGUCUCCGAAAUACAGUGGCGGUCUCGCCGCAGCCUCUCCUGCGCAGUAGUUUGCACACUCGCAUCGGGAGCGCGGCGCGUCCACAGCCGUUAAACACCCAACUUCUGAAAUGUUGACCUCGGAUCAGGUAGGAAUACCCGCUGAACUUAAGCAUAUCAAUAAGCGGAGGAAAAGAAACCAACAGGGAUUGCCCCAGUAACGGCGAGUGAAGCGGCAACAGCUCAAAUUUGAAAUCUGGUCCCUAGGGCCCGAGUUGUAAUUUGUAGAGGAUGCUUUUGGUGAGGUGCCGCCCGAGUUCCCUGGAACGGGACGCCACAGAGGGUGAGAGCCCCGUCUGGCUGGCCGCCGAGCCUCUGUAAAGCUCCUUCGACGAGUCGAGUAGUUUGGGAAUGCUGCUCAAAAUGGGAGGUAUAUGUCUUCUAAAGCUAAAUAUUGGCCAGAGACCGAUAGCGCACAAGUAGAGUGAUCGAAAGAUGAAAAGCACCUUGAAAAGAGGGUUAAAUAGUACGUGAAAUUGUUGAAAGGGAAGCGCUUGUGACCAGACUUGGGCGCGGCGGAUCAUCCGGGGUUCUCUCCGGUGCACUUCGCCGCGUCUAGGCCAGCAUCAGUUCGUCGCGGGGGAAAAAGGCUUCGGGAACGUGGCUCCUCCGGGAGUGUUAUAGCCCGUUGCAUAAUACCCUGCGGUGGACUGAGGACCGCCAU